rnacentral:rRNA from 1 species
UACAGAGGGUGCGAGCGUUACUCGGAAUUACUGGGCGUAAAGCGUGCGUAGACGGUUAUUUAAGUCAGGUGUGAAAGCCCCGGGCUCAACCUGGGAAUUGCAUUUGUGACUGCACGGCUAGAGUGUGUCAGAGGGGGGUAGAAUUCCACGUGUAGCAGUGAAAUGCGUAGAUAUGUGGAGGAAUACCGAUGGCGAAGGCAGCCCCCUGGGAUAACACUGACGCUCAUGCACGAAAGCGUGGGGAGCAAACAGG